AGAACGAACGCUGGCGGCAGGCUUAACACAUGCAAGUCGAACGCGUGUAGCAAUACACGAGUGGCGCACGGGUGAGUAACGCGUGGAUAUCUGCCUUUUGGUUCGGAAUAACCCCGGGAAACUGGGGCUAAUACCGGAUGGUUCCUACGGGAUAAAGAUUUAUCGCCAAAAGAUGAGUCCGCGUCCGAUUAGCUAGUUGGUGGGGUAAUGGCCUACCAAGGCGACGAUCGGUAGCUGGUCUGAGAGGACGAUCAGCCACACUGGGACUGAGACACGGCCCAGACUCCUACGGGAGGCAGCAGUGGGGAAUAUUGGACAAUGGGCGCAAGCCUGAUCCAGCCAUGCCGCGUGGAUGAUGAAGGCCUUAGGGUUGUAAAGUCCUUUUAACGGGGAAGAUAAUGACGGUACCCGUAGAAUAAGCCCGGCUAACUUCGUGCCAGCAGCCGC
rnacentral:rRNA from 1 species